rnacentral:rRNA from 1 species
GUUGAACGCUGGCGGCAUGCCUAAUACAUGCAAGUCGAGCGAAGCGGGGACGGGUGAGUAACAUGUGGAUAACCCCCUAUAUGACGGGGGUAAAUUCGGGAAACCGGUGCUUAACCGGAUACUUAUCGAUGGAUCCGCGCUGCAUUAGCUAGUUGGUAAGGUAACGGCUUACCAAGGCCACGAUGCCUAGCCGACCUGAGAGGAUGAUCGGCCACACUGGAACUGAGACACGGUCCAGACUCCUACGGGAGGCAGCAGUAGGGAAUCUUCCGCAAUGGGCGCAAGCCUGACGCAGCCACGCCGCGUGUGUGAAGAAGGUCUUCGGAUCGUAAAGCACUGUUAUUAGGGAAGCGGUACCUGCUCAGAAAGCCACGGCUAACUCCGUGCCAGCAGCCGCGGUAAUUC